GACUUAUCUUCAAGUUUCCAAGCAUUAUGAAGAUUGACUUAUCGCUCCACUUCACUCCAGCCUGGGCAACAGCGGGAGACUCCGUCUCAAAAAAAAAAAAAAAAAAAAAAGAAGAAUUAACAGAUUUAAAACUUAUUUGUUAAAUACCAUACAGUAGUGUAUAUAUUAUUUAUAGCCUCUUAAUUAAAUAAAUCUAAAUUUAAACCAUCUAUGGAGCCCAGUAAGAUAAUAUUUAUUAAUUUUAAAACAUACAUACAUGCAGCAAGCCCACUGCUCCCCACCAGUACAUACACAUAUUCCUGGAGUGCAGUGGCGCGAUCUCGGCUCACUGCAAGCUCCGCCUCCCGGGUUCACGCCAUUCUCCUGCCUCAGCCUCCCGAGUAGCUGGGACUACAGGCGCCCGCUACCACACCCGGCUAAUUUUUUGUAUUUUUAGUAGAGACGGGGUUUCACCGUGUUAGCCAGGAUGGUCUCGAUCUCCUGACCUCGUGAUCCGCCCGCCUCAGCCUCCCAAAGUGCUGGGAUUACAGGCGUGAGCCACCGCGCCCAGCCUUGGCUUUUUUAAUACUAAAAAAGUUAUAUUUAAAAGGAAGUCAAUAAUUUGGUAUAGCACUGAUCUCUCUUUAUUGGGAAAAAUAUUGCCAAGUAUAAUCAUGCACUGUAUAACAAUGUUUAGGUCAACAAUGAGCUGCAUAUACAAUGGUAGUCCCAUAGAUUAUCAUGAAGCUGAAAAUUCUUAUUGCCUAGUGACAUUGUAGCUAGUAACAUCAUAGUGCAAUGCAUUACCUUUUCUAUGUUUUGAUAUAUGAAUAUUUACUAUUGUGUUACAAUUGCUUACAGUAUUCAGUACAGUAACAUGCUGUGCAGGCUUGUAGCCUAGGAGGAAUAGGCUAUACCAUAUAGCCUAGGAGUAUAGUAGGUUAUAUCAUCUAGGUUUGUGUAAGUAAACUGUGAUGUUAGCAUAACAGUGAAAUCACCUAAGGAUGCAUCUUUCAGAACAUUAACCGAGGCAUCAUUAUAAUCAAUCAAUCUUGCUUUACAGGCCCACAGGGCAAAUGACUGAUAAGGGAGAUAGGUAUAUAUCUUUCUUGAGCACUUGUCACCCUAAAUUCACAUUACUAUAUCCAAUAAAAUGCAGGAG
rnacentral:lncRNA from 10 species